rnacentral:misc_RNA from 1 species
CCAAUAGCGUAUAUUAAAGUUGUUGCAGUUAAAAAGCUCGUAGUUGAAUUUUGGAUUCUACCAGUCGGUCCAUCUUUUGAUGAGUACUGGUUGUGUGGGGUCUAUCCGCCUGGUGAUACGUAAUGUCCUUUAUUGGAUGUUGCGGGUAGUCAGGACCUUUACCUUGAAAAAAUUAGAGUGUUUAAAGCAGGCUUAUGCCGGAAUACAUUAGCAUGGAAUAAUAGAAUAGGACGAAGUUGUUUUAUUUUGUUGGUUUCUAGGACAACCGUAAUGAUUAAUAGGGAUAGUUGGGGGCAUUAGUAUUCAAUUGUCAGAGGUGAAAUUCUUGGAUUUAUUGAAGACUAACUAUUGCGAAAGCAUUUGCCAAGGAUGUUUUCAUUAAUCAAGAACGAAAGUUAGGGGAUCGAAGACGAUCAGAUACCGUCGUAGUCUUAACCAUAAACUAUGCCGACUAGGAAUCAGACGAUGUUAAUUUUUUAAUGACUCGUUUGGCACCUUACG